UGCUCUUCUAUCAGUCCGAUAAAUUUUCAGUCAUAUCCUGCAAGGAACUCUGUGAAGUUACUACAGAACUCCGACGGGGUUAGCGUUCUGGUAGUCCUCUCUAAAAAUUGAGAUUUUUUUUCCCGAAGUCAUUUUUCAUCACUGAUUUGUGAAACUUAGCUGCUGACAUCGGAUAACCUCCUGGGAAAUACGCUACGAUGUCCAAAGUACUCUUUUAUGUCUGUUAGCCGGUUUGCUAGCUUGUUAGGACAGGAUCGUGGUUAUCAGUGUGCAAUUUUCUACAUAUUGAUGGCUUAGAGUUGGAUGACGAAGCAGAAGGACCGCUGCCGCUGCAGGAUCCUCUGCAGGCGCCGUAAGGCUUGAUGUGAUGACACGAUCUUCCUCCUAGUUACCAAGGUCCGAGUAAAGAGAAACAAGUCAGUCCAUUGAGGCCUGCUUGGUUUAAAAAAAAAAAAAAAAAAAAAAAAACUACAGUAAAUGCAGUACUACAAAUGUACAGAAACCGUAGCAGUUCUGUGGUCUUUGAAAACGUACUUGGCAGCUCGGCAGUAAAAGAAGUCUACUCUCUCACAUCAAGUUCACCUCGAGGAAAAAAAAAAAAAAAAUCAACUGACCAUCCCAAACGAGGCUUUGUCACGUCACACUUGUGCCAGAGAUGUGCUUUGGAUAGAGGAUGUUCUUGUCAAUCUGCCUCAGUACACUGACGGUAAACUACACUUUCAAGUUGACCGGUCUCCGUCAGCGCCGGGAUGUUCCGGUGGGUUUUCCCUCGGUACAGAACACCUGCGGACCUCUAAAUUGACUGUCGACUACUUCGAGUUCUCCAGUAUUUGGUGCUGUGCGUCUUUCGGGCCACAACAGUGCAGGACACAUGAACAUGAUAUGUCGGUAUCGAGUGGAAAUAAACAAUAUGCUUCAUUAUUCUCCUAAAAUAUUAAACUGAAGGCUACACAAAGCUGAUAUAUUAUGAAAA